rnacentral:rRNA from 1 species
GACGAACGCUGGCGGCGUGCUUAACACAUGCAAGUCGAACGGACAGGCCCUGCUCUUGUGGGGUGCUCGAGUGGCGAACGGGGGAGUAACACGCGAGUAAACUGCCCUUGACUUUGGGAUAACUUCAGGAAACUGGGGCUAAUACCGGAUAGGAGCUCCUGCUGCAUGGUGGGGGAUGGAAAGAUUCGGCGGUGGGGGAUGGACUCGCGGCUUAUCAGCUUGUUGGUGGGGUAGUGGCUUACCAAGGCUUUGACGGGUAGCCGGCCUUGGAGGGUGACCGGCCACCUUGGUCCUGAGGUACGGCCCAGACUCCUACGGGACGCAGCAGUCGGGAAUAUUGCACAAUGGGCCGACGCCUGAUGCAGCAACGCCGCGUGCGGGAUGACGGCCUUCGGGUUGUAAACCGCUUUCUCCUGUGACGAAGCGUGAGUGACGGUAAUGGGUAAAGAAGCACCGGCUAACUACGUG